UUUUCAGAACCAUACGGACUCACAAAGAGAUCGUAUCCUUACAUGGUGCUACCGCAAGCUUUCCACCGUAAAGUGUUACGGUCGAAUGAACGUGCGGCAACGGUCGGGCUGCAGGCUGGGUGUCCCCAUUUUACUCGACACGUCUAACUUCAAACAACUGGAGUAUAUAAUGGGAAAUAUGCCACUCUAGUAACGACAACAUAAUGACACUGCCUCGGCGAUGGAUCGUGUUGCUAGCCCGAACAUACUGGGCAUUUAUUGCUCUGGGAACAUACAAAGCGUUAGCAGUGUUCAUUCCACUUUGGGUAGAUGAAUUAUCCACCACCACUACGAGUGCUGGUUUCGUCUGCAGUAUGUCGAUCGGACUAGGCGCCAUUUCAGUGCCAUUGGUUGGAGCCUUCAUGCCAAUGCUGGGUCCACGAAUGAUCACCAUGGUUGGAGGAGCAAUGGCUGCUUUUUGUUUGAUGGCGGCGUCAUUUUCACCCUCUAUUCUCCUUCUGGGGUUCUUGUUUGCUUUGUCAAGUAUUGGGCAGGCUGCAACGCAGUUGGCCUCUGCUAAAGCCGUUAUGGACUAUUUUCCAGACAACUUUGCUGCAGCAAACGGCGUUUCCCUUUCCGGAGGGCCUCUUGGAAUGAUGAUACUCCCACCAGUAACGGAAUAUAUUGUGUCAGUUUACGGAUGGAGGGCAGCUCUCUGCCUGUUGGGGGCAUUUUCUUUCAACUAUACUGUAUGUGGUGCUCUGUUUCGACCACGAAGAGUGUCGUGUCCGACAUUCUAUAGUGUGCUGCCGAAUCAAACUGACACAGAUAACACGUCAAUAACUUCAAAGGAAGAAGGCAAACGAGAUGUUAAAUGUGGAGGUAGUCUGACAAAGAAAAUGUUGAAUAUUGUGCAUGAACGAUUCGACACAAAUAUACUCACCCAAGAUAUGUUCCUCGUUUAUCAGCUUGUGACUAUCUUGUGUGGCGCCCUCUUUAGCAGUUGGCACUUAUUUGUAAUUCCUCAAGGCAUAGAGCUUGGAUUUGGCGAAGUGCCCUCCGCGGUUCUUGCAACAUUCGGGGGCAUUGGCUCCCUUGUGGGACGUUCCGUUCAUGGCCCUUUGGUUGACUACGGUCUAAUCAAAUCUUCGACUCUUUUUGUGAUAUCGAGCCUGGUGUUCGCGGCGUCUACCCUCACCAACCCGCUAGUAGUGCAAUCCUAUUUCGCCCUAGCAUUUCUGUGCACAAUAGCUGGGUUUGCUAUGGGAAUCUUGUACCCGAUGAUGUUCGUGCUUGUGCGUGAAGUUACCGGGGACCAGCACCUUUCAGCUUUUAGUUGGUUAUUCGUAUCUUUGUCUGCUGGCGAACUCGCUGGGGGAGUGCUCGCUGGUAGGUAGCUAUCCUAGUUCUAGGAUUUUGCUAAAUAGUUUCCAUGCAGACUAAAUCCGGGACAUGCAGGCAUAAAUGGUUUUGAAAAUCUUUCAAAACAACUGGUAGUUUGAAGCAAGUGGUCCUCUACUACUCGUUGUGGAUGGAUUCAUGACCUCACAGGGGCAUACGAGCC
rnacentral:misc_RNA from 1 species